CGGAGGAAAAGAAACCAACAGGGAUUGCUCUAGUAACGGCGAGUGAAGCAGCAAUAGCUCAAAUUUGAAAUCUGGCGUCUUCGACGUCCGAGUUGUAAUUUGUAGAGGAUGCUUCUGAGUAACCACCGACCUAAGUUCCUUGGAACAGGACGUCAUAGAGGGUGAGAAUCCCGUAUGCGGUCGGAAAGGUGCUCUACACGUAGCUCCUUCGACGAGUCGAGUUGUUUGGGAAUGCAGCUCUAAAUGGGAGGUAAAUUUCUUCUAAAGCUAAAUAUUGGCCAGAGACCGAUAGCGCACAAGUAGAGUGAUCGAAAGAUGAAAAGCACUUUGGAAAGAGAGUUAAAAAGCACGUGAAAUUGUUAAAAGGGAAGGGAUUGCAACCAGACUUGCUCGCGGUGUUCCGCCGGUCUUCUGACCGGUCUACUCGCCGCGUUGCAGGCCAGCAUCGUCUGGUGCCGCUGGAUAAGACUUGAGGAAUGUAGCUCCCUCGGGAGUGUUAUAGCCUCUUGUGAUGCAGCGAGCGCCGGGCGAGGUCCGCGCUUCGGCUAGGAUGCUGGCGUAAUGGUCGUAAUCCGCCCGUCUUGAAACACGGACCAAGGAGUCUAACAUCUAUGC
rnacentral:rRNA from 1 species